UGGAUGAAUGACAAUGUGUCCUGCAGUCUCCUCAGCAUCCAUCCCCUUUUAACAUGCACGAUACACGCUCACAACGCUUUUUAUUUCGUGUUGCAACGGAAAAGAACGAUGCCGUGAAAGCUACGUGGUAAAAAUGCUGCAUCUGUGUAACGUGCGUCGGUCAAGACUACUGAUUGAAGCUUCACGGUAGUAGGUUUCGCGGUUAAAGUGCUGUAACGAGAAUAAAAGCCGCUCGCCCACCUCUUCCUGCUGCGUUGGAUUGGGUCUCUGGUUCGGCUGCUCCUUGCUGGCUGUCAUGGUGUAAAGUCCUCGGUCCGAAGUGUUGAUCUAACGCCGCUAAGGAAGAUGCUAAAGAGAUUCUCAUCAACGGAUGAUGAGGAAGAGGAGGGAGAUUUCGUCACCAGUGAGGUGCAGGAGAACAUCUGACCAGAAGACAACACGAUCCCAUCAACUCCACGACUUCCAGGCGAGACGACGAGGCACACCGGCAAGCACUUGGUAAUCAGGCACAGCGGCUACGGCAGAUCGUACUUCAUUCAAGACCGUUCAAGACCUGCGAGAGCUGUUUCACUUCCUUGUCUGCCUCCAGUACCUUUCAUCAUUUCAUCAAGUAUAAGCUUGUGUUCUGAUAUAUCAUGUUUCUGAUUGACACAUUUUAUGAUAUUCUGACUUUGUGCUCACCUUGUCGCUUUGCCGCAGCCAUCCCUUUUUUGACGUCUCCGUUAUUUUUUGUGACUAGUGGAACCGUGUUGCCUGCGAACUGAGUUUCAUUUUCCAUUGUCCUGGGGAGUCGUGUCGUGACGUCACAGGGGUUACGAAAUAACGGGACAUUUCAAGCGGAGAUGCUGAGCCAGCUGAAGUCAGCCCUCUGCUACACCGCACAGCACUCCAGGACCAUUCAAACGCUGCAAUCCCAGUAUGGAAAAGUCGAAUGCAACAAAAUGCAUUGAAAGUCCAUUCUGGACUUUCUUACAAAAUAAUCUGAGCGAGAACAUCGACGACAGGAGGAGACGGAGGCCAAAACAUGUAUAAAAUAUACACAUUAAAAGAAACGCAUUUUUACAACUGUGACAUUCAUUGCAAAACAACAAACAACUCUAAUGAAUAUCAGCUUACAACCAGAACUGUAAAAACAUUUCUAAAAAUCGAAAAUGUAUCAAAUAUACAUAUGAAAUAGAAAUAACAAUAUAACAAACUUCAUGAACAUCAACAAAUGUCUAAACCUUAUCAAGCAUUAUUUCAAGGUUUAAAAACAGCCCCGUUUUGGCCUCGGUCUCCUCUUGCCGUUGAUGUUUUCUGUCAGAAUCUUCUACCCCUUCGUUUCAAGCCUGGUCCUCGAACACACACUUGGUUUCUAGGGCUGUACACCGCUUAGCACUUACCCCUUACCCCUUGAUUUAAGGAGAUUUGGGACACCACUUAAUUCUCGUGAACGCGCAAAACCGAAAGAUAAGGGCUAAGAUAAGGGCUAAGAUAAGGGGUAAGGGGUAGAAUAGGGUUUCAGCCUUAGACAGACUUGAUUGAUCCACAGGGGAAAUUGCUCAGUUGCAGCAGAAAACGAAAAACACUCAUAUCAAAUGCAAUACAAUAUGAACAAAAUAUAAUUUAAAAAAAGAAUAUAAGAUAAACAAGGUUGGCAUAUUUAGAAAUAGUGAGUAAAAUAUAAAGUAAAUGCAAGUCAAUUUACACCACGCUAUACAAGGGACGCCAGACAGUACAGUUCAAUAAGGUUGUGAAUGAAUGAAUGAUGACUAAUUACAUUACUAAUUACUAUUAUUACAUUACUAUUACUAUAUUAUUAUUAUUAUAUUAUACAUUAUUAUUAUUAUUAUUAUUAUUAUUAUUAUUAUUAUUAUUAUUAUUAAUAUCAUUAUUAUUAUUAUUAUUAUUAUUAUUAUUAUUAUUAUUAUUAUAUACAUUACUAUUAAAACAUUACUAAUUACAUGUCAUAAUGUCUUCAGUUUUGCCGGACACUAUUUUUGUCAAGACUUGCUUCUGUCUCUGCAUCCAGGGUCCAACCAAUACCAAAUCCUCACAAAUGCUCCACUAUUAACUGUGGACCAGGUUUUUGUAGAGAGUGGUCAUUUUAACCGAGGGUCUGGCUUUUUAAUGCCUUUAAAGCUAACAGGCUUUUAAAGCCAUCAAAUUUAAAUGAAUUGAAAAAAAUGUUAUAGUUUUUUUUUCCCCCUCCCAGCCUUGAGCACAUUGUAAAAUGGAUUGUCACAGUUUUGUCAAAUAGCCAUUCAGCCUCAAAAGAGUACCCAUGUUACUUCCAUACCACCACUGAAAGGUCAAGCUCUUGCAUUUUGUGCGUCUCAGCACUCAAUUAGUUGAAAAUUGCCUUUUGUCUGCUGGGAGCAGGUGAUAAUUGCUGUGGGUCACAAGCAAUAAUUGCCAGUGAAACCCUUAGAGCCGCUGCCUAUUAAGUGGAGAUAUUUAAAUCGCAUCACCUUUGGGGUGCUUCCAUCUUUUAUACUUGCCAUUAAUUGGGGAAAGGAUUUGUAGAACUUUCCAGUGUUGAUUUAACCCCUAGGAACCCCUAGGUCAACACAUCUUUAAAUGUCCUAAAACGGACCCUCUGCAGCUUUGCUCUUCAUUUGAACUCAUCCACUCCAUAAGUGACAUUUUCGAAUGGUUGUCAUGUGACAGUCAUGUGACUCUGAUUAUUUUUGUGCAAGGUGGCCGCUGUCAUUAAUUGUGAGAGGAGUGAUCACAUUCAUAGAAUGACAUGGUUAUUACGCACACAAAAGUAGUCGUGGUUGAGCAAGUGUGCUGUGGGUAUGACUUUUACAUUACUUUGGGUCUUUAUGUUUUAUUUGAAUUUAUGUCGGUUAUCAUUAAUAACCAGCGAGGACUGACAGCAUUACAGGCAUUCCAUGACAUACGCAAACUGGCCAUACAGUCACGGCCAAAAUACCAGUGUUUUUGGCCAUGGCUGUAUAAAUCAGGCUGAUUUGGAUGUAUUCCAUACAGGCAUGGCCAAAGACGUUGGUUUCUAAAAAAUUAAAGACGUUGGUUUCUAAAAAUUCUUCAUGUCCUUCUUGUCUGCAUAAGCCUGGCAGGCGUCCGCCUUCUCUCUGAGUCGAAACCACAGCUUUUUAUUGCAGGUUUGAAUUAUCUCACAACAAGCACAAUAAAAACACGAGCCACCGUUGUGGCCGUAAGCUACGGCAAGUUGAAACUCAACUCUGACCCGCUGCCACCACUUCCUUUUCAGUUUAUAAAUAAGGAAUCCUACUUGGCGGAAAUUGACAUAUCACGGUCAUGUCUGGAACCAAGGGAGGGAUAACUGUACUUCUAAAUGCUCGCGUUGUGUGGUGUAGUUUUUCAAAAUUGUGUUGACGCCAUAAAGCUAACGCCAGUGUGUGUUUAUAUGUGUCCUGUAAGUGACUGACAACCGGUGCAGGGAGCUUGGGUAGACCCACCCAUGACCCUGAAGAGGAUAAGCGGUGGAAAAUGAAUGAAUGAAAAUCCACCAAAUACAAAAGUACUAUACGUAACAACACGGCCCAAGUCGUUUUCCUAACAACGUGGUGCAUGUUGGGAAUACGACACUAAAGGGUGUACUCGUGUGACAUCUUGAAGUAGAACAAAUGUGAAAGAGCAGAAAGUGUACAGCAAAGUAGAAGAGGAAAAAGAAGUCGUUAAGUGGGAGAUAAGAGGAAUUAGGUGAAGAACGCAUGAGCAGAGGAGGGAAUGGUAAAAGUAAAAAGGAACAUCCAGCGACCGUAGCAAUUAACAAAGGCUGCCUUCUGGGCUCCGUCCCUUCAGGAAAGAGCCAAGUAAGCCUUUCUAAUUAUCACUACUAUAAAACACCACGUCUAAUCUGUGUGGAGAAGUCACACAGCUAGACUAACUGACCCAUGUGACGCUCCUCUGGUGUAUGAACCUUACUUAAGGGGGUACAAAAUAUACUAAAGCUUUAUGGGCACGUAAACAGUCUGUAAGUGAACUAUAUGGGCUGACAGUUUGUGGUCCAGCCAAUGUUUUUGGUACAAGAGUUCCAUAAAUGCAAAGCUGAAUCAAGGAGGGUGGAAAUAAUCUGAACCCCAGUAAGUAGUAUAGUUCAUAGUUCAAAUUGUCAAUCAAAAAUCCUUUGCUCGUGUAUAUUCUGGGUGUCUUGUUCAGUACAAACCUGUAAAAUUCACUUCCUGGCAUUAUUGAAUUGUACCGUAUAUACUUUAUAAUAUUAAAUAAGUAUUCCAUCUCUAGCUGAUUUUGUAAGUUUACACCCUUACAACGAUGUGGGUAUGGAUAGAAAACAGAAAAAAAACCAUAAGUAUUAUUAUUUAUUUGUAUUUAUCAUUUAUGUUUUAUUUAUAUUUUAAUGUAUUUUUGUUGAUUUAUUUGUGUUAUUAAGGUAAUUCAUUUGUAUUUGACUGAGUGAAAGAAGUAUUUGAUACCCAUACCAACCAGCAUUCUGACCCCCAAACAGGUUACGUCACCACGAAACACACAAAUUAGUCCUGCUCGACUGCAGAAACCUUUCACACUCAAUGCAACACCGCCCUCUGGUGGCUGUCCCCGGCACAACUUCCGACUUCAGCCUGCAUCUAACAUAAAAUCUUUCACAUCUUCACUUCAUCUUUGUGCUUGUCGACUGUGUCCUCCUAAGACUUUGUCCUCAGUAGAUGUGUCCAUCACUCCUGACUGUUUUAUCCAUUACUGUAUGGCUUUUAACAACUUUUAACAACUGACUUUCUACACUGUUUUAGGGGGAAUGGCCUCAGCUCCUUCCGCUUUACACAUUUUUAAUGUGUUCUUCCUGUUGGCCUUGACAAAUUCCACUACUUUCUCCUGCUUAUUACUUCUACUGCUUUUCCCUGUGCCCCUUCAACCCUUUGGAGUCCAGGAUAGUGUCAUGUAUGGCUUUACUGUUAUUUUAUACAUUUUAUACACACACACACAGUUUUUUUAACACCUUGGGCCUAAAAUCCAAGAAGGAAAAAUGUUAAAAAUGUUAAAAAUGUCUAACAUGUGUAUGUAACUCUUCUUAUAACUUAGAGAAUAUUAACUUAUGUACACAUUUAGCAAACAAGAUACAGUAAAUGUAGUGGAAAAAACAAUUUACUAACUAUGUGCACAACAAAUAAUGUCACUCAUUGCAAAACAAUGUUUUUUUUCCACCUGAAGACAACACAGUUGUAACAUUGUGUAACAUUUUUGAUCAUCCAGAGGGAAAAGUCAGGCCUGUGCUGGCCUUUCAAAACAAUGAUGUGCGUCUUUGCAUCAUUUGACCACUUGAUGGCACUGUUCCCUCACAUUCCCCCCUCCCUCGGCAACCAAACGGCUGGUGAUGCUUUCACUGAUUAAUGACAUGUUUUUCUUGUGCGUCAUGUUUCAUUAUUAGUUUAUUUUUCGCUGCCUUCCUGCACUGAAAGCGCUAACAAAUGAGAAAUAAAGUGAUGACACAAUGACAACAUCAUAGUGAACAUGAUUGAUCAUAAAUCUGGUUUCACUUGACCGAUUUUUCACCAUUUAAAAACUCAUGCAACGCCUCCUACAAGUUCAGUACAAGAACACUUCAAAUGUGUCCUAUGCAUGAAGUCCCUAAGUGACGUAUAGGAAACAUUUUGGAGUGGUUAUCAUGUGACAUUCGUGUGACUAUCCCAUGAUGUCUUCCCCAAAAUGUCAGGUACAUACACGUUUGUCAUUAAAGUGCAUUUUAAAGCCAUUUAACUAUUAUACUGCUUUAAUAAGGUGUCAAGUAUUACCAUCUAACGAUACUUACUAUAUUUCUUCAGUGUAUUCAUAGAAGGAAAGUAGGAAAAUAUCACAAGAAGGACACGUUUAAAAAAAGACUUAAUAAUUGGAUCGAGGAUAAGGCUUCUUGAGACGUCAUCUGUACUUCUGUGAAGAAGGUGUCGGACGUAAGUACAGAUGUACAGAAGUACAGAUGACGUCUCAAGAAGCCUUUUCCUCGAUGGACAACUCCUGUACGACUGAGAGCCUACACAGACGCAUUAAUAAUUGGAUGAUACGUAUAAUGCGUCCAGACUUUAGGGGGACACUGUAGAGCUGUUUUUAAAAAUCAGUUUUUGUUGUUUGGUUUGUUGUUUUUUUUGCUGAAUCGUUCAACUUCAAAAUUAGGUCAUGUUCAGAAUUCAAUCAAGCAUCUUCAAUGCAUGCCCUGGCUUCCUAUAGCCUCGCCUUCCUAUCUCUCUCUCCCACUCUCCUCCCCUACAACGGCUUGCUAUUCCUCGCACAGGACGGAUGCAGGAGAAAGCAAACUGUAGAUCUUGACAUUCAAACAUUGCAUGCAUUUUAAAAUGCCUCACAAAGGUUUGGUCAGGAGGUCGGCCUGCGCGUUGUCUUUUUGUGUUCCUGUUCUGUUUUAUCUAAGCACAUACCCUGCAAGCCAAGGUCAAUUCCGUGUGUACGCAAAAGGUGAGGGGUUUGCUGCUGUCAGUCGCAGACCGCGAACAGCAAGGAGAAUCCUUAUUAGAACAGUGGUUUUCAACCUUUUCUGAGCCGAGGCACAUUUUUUUAAUUGAAAAAAACACGAGGCACACUUCCACUCACUCAGUGUGAAACGUGGGCCUGUUUGGAUGAACACAGAGCUAAUAUUAUGGCAGGAAUCGGAAAAAAGACACACGACGCUCUUCCUCAACGACUCUCAGUCUGUUUUGGAGAUGGAGUUGAAGGUUACUUGGGACCAGAGAAUCUUUGGAUAUCGUUUCCUCGCAAGUAAAUCCAAAUGAAAGACGCGCAGUUUUGCUUCCGCUAUCCGUCUUUUGCUUUCUUUUGACCUCCACUCAUACUUGGGCCUUCAUCUGGGUCCGAAUUUUUCCUAGGGUGCAGUUCAGAAUUAGCAGGACAGUCUGGAGCAGUGGAUACUGGCUCUCAACUUACUUUUGUAUGGUUCACCACUUCUUUGGUUUUCUCUUUUCUUAACGUUGCCAAGAGACACUGGGCUGUUCAUACAGUAGCCUCUUCUGCAGCUCCCUUGCCUGCUUGAUGAUCUGAUUAGCCCGAGUGGAUAUGGCUGACAGAGUUUUUGAGCAAUCAUACCAACUCUUUUUCAAACAGUUUCUAUCUGCUUUUUCACAAACGGAUUUGAAGCAAUCUAUCUGAGCUGUCAGUGGCAGCUUUUCACCAGCCAUGCAUGUGAACACACAUUUCCAUCUGCAGUGCAGCUCCUUGACUCACUGUCACCAUCUGUCCAUCAGUGGAAGAUUGCAUAACCAAGAAGCGCCAGUGACAUGCACUUCAUACAUGCAUUCACAAUUAUCGGCGAUCGUGCAAGGAAUGCCAUGUUCUGCAUGGCAGUCAUGCUAAUAUUGUUGUAAUUUCCUCUUUUUCUGUAAAUGACUCCCCUUUGUUAAAAUGUACUUUGUUGUUGUCUAUUCUGCUCUAUGUGAGCAUUAAAUAAAGACUAUUUUUUCU